rnacentral:rRNA from 1 species
AGUCGAGCGGCAGCACGGGGAGCUUGCUCCCUGGUGGCGAGCGGCGGACGGGUGAGUAAUGCAUAGGAAUCUGCCCGGUAGUGGGGGAUAACGUGGGGAAACCCACGCUAAUACCGCAUACGUCCUACGGGAGAAAGCAGGGGAUCUUCGGACCUUGCGCUAUCGGAUGAGCCUAUGUCGGAUUAGCUAGUUGGUAAGGUAACGGCUUACCAAGGCGACGAUCCGUAGCCGGUCUGAGAGGAUGACCAGCCACACUGGGACUGAGACACGGCCCAGACUCCUACGGGAGGCAGCAGUGGGGAAUAUUGGACAAUGGGCGAAAGCCUGAUCCAGCCAUGCCGCGUGUGUGAAGAAGGCUUUCGGGUUGUAAAGCACUUUCAGCGAGGAAGAAAGCCUCUGGGCCAAUACCCCAGAGGAAGGACAUCACUCGCAGAAGAAGCACCGGCUAACUCCGUGCCAGCAGCCGCGGUAA